AUGUUUCUAUUAUAAAAAGUAAGUUUAAUUUCCAAUUAAAUAGUCCCUAGUGGGGAAAUAUA
rnacentral:tRNA from 1 species